CCAACGGCCCUCUUUAGGGCCACAAAAAUCCCCUUCAAUGUGCAAU
rfam:Caenorhabditis japonica strain DF5081 Contig18198.31, whole genome shotgun sequence.